rnacentral:rRNA from 1 species
CCCAGACUCCUACGGGAGGCAGCAGUGGGGAAUAUUGCACAAUGGGGGAAACCCUGAUGCAGCGACGCCGCGUGAGUGAAGAAGUAUUUCGGUAUGUAAAGCUCUAUCAGCAGGGAAGAUAAUGACGGUACCUGACUAAGAAGCCUCGGCUAACUACGUGCCAGCAGCCGCGGUAAUACGUAGGAGGCAAGCGUUAUCCGGAAUGACUGGGCGUAAAGGGUGCGUAGGUGGUUUGGCAAGUUAGUAGCGUAACUCCGGAGCUUAACUUCGGAACUACUACUAAAACUGUCGGACUUGAGUGCAGGAGGGGCAACUGGAAUUCCUAGUGUAGCGGUGGAAUGCGUAGAUAUUAGGAGGAACACCAGUGGCGAAGGCGAUUUGCUGGACUGUAACUGACACUGAGGCACGAAAGCGUGGGGAGCAAACAGGAUUAGAUACCCUUGUAC